AUGUUUUGGCAGCACAUGUACUAAUAUGGGAAUGAUACAGAGAAGAUUAGCAUUGUCCCUUUGUCAGAAUGAUACCCACAUUUAUGGAGCAUUCCAUAUUUUG